rnacentral:lncRNA from 1 species
GUACUAUCAUUUUUUUAGAGAAGUAUUUGAGCUCUGAACAUGUGAAAUAAAAAAAAUAUAUAGUUGUGAAAUAUACUUAACAGAAGAAAAAUAAGACACACACUCACAGAUGCAAAUUAAGUGAUAAAAAAUUAAAUAUUUGAGAUAAACUUUUGUUUAUUCUAACUUUAAGUACAAAAAGAUUAAAACAUAUUUUUCAUGUAAAAGGACACAUUUUACCUAAGUAUUAUAAUGUGAACAGAUAUAAAGCUAUUCAAGAUCUAGUUCUGUGUGGAAACAACUGGUAUGAUGAUAAGGUCUAUAAUGAGAGAGAUCCCCAUAUUUAGCAUAGCUUGAUCAAUUUUAAACAUAUAAGAUUGAGAUGCAAUAUAUAAAUGUACCCAUGUUAGGUGUAUUAUAUUAUACAUUUUACAUAUAUGAGAUGUAAAAUUUUGUUGCAUUUUUUGAUACAUGAUCUUGUUAACAUUGUAUAAAUAUCAUUGGAUGAACCUAUACAUUGUAAAUAUUUGUCCUCGUGUCAUCCUUAAACAAAUUAAUUUAUCUAUUUUUUACUUAAUGCACCCAUUAUAUGUUAAAUUUUUAAAUGAUGUGCCACAUAGGAAUAAUAAUGAUUAUAUUCAGAUGAUAAUUAAUUAUAAAUGUCAACUAAAGUUUUACAACAUUUAGAUUUUAGGGGUCAAGCAGAUUUGUUGCAUGUGUUCAUGGUUCAAUUGACUCUUAAAAUUGAAACAUUGUUUUAUUUAAAUUGACAUUUUUGAAGCAGUCUUGAUAUUUGACUUGCUUGCAUUUACCUGUUUAAGUGUUGUCGGCUCAAAACUUAAACUUUUGAUAAUGAAAUUUCUGGAACACACUUUCUCAGUAGGAAAUAUGUACUUGUCUCCAAGUUUUAUGAAUCUUUAUUUGAACAGGAGUUAUACCUUUAUUUCUACUCACUUGAUUUUAGCAAUGGCUACCUGAAUACCUGAUUUAAAAGCUCCUAAUGCAAUCUCAAACAAUCAUAAUGUCAAAACUUUCACCCGAGUAAAAACCAUGAUGGAAACUUAAAAAUCUGAUAAUAUGGUGUAAGAAUAGAAUCUACCAUGAGUCAAUUCCAACAAGAUAUAUAAGUGAAAUUGUUAUAUUGACCUCUUCUGUGAGUUUGGCUUAGGAAAUGAAUUGAAUUUAAAUAUUAAGUAACAUUUCUUGUGUGGCAUAAUUUUUUCCUUGACUGCAUGCUGUUUAAAUGCUUGUUACUAAAGUGAAAACAUGAUAGUUAUGGCUUUAUAUUAAUGAUCUUAUCAAGCUUUAUAAAAAUAAAUAGACAAACUUAAGACAACUACACUCAUGUUUAUCACUGAGUUCUGCGUUUAUACAAGACAAUUGUUUGACCACACUCGAAGUAGUACACAUGGGUGUUGUUUUCCUUAUUUUCUUUAUCUAAUAUCAGGCAAUACACACCUUUUGAAAUACAUGUAUUGACACAGUUAUAUACCUUGCCAACAAAUAAAAAAACAUUUAAGGAAAUGAUUUAAUUACAACUGUAAACACUCAAUCAGACCUCUUGCAAUGAAUCUGUCUGGAUAUAAACUAGUGCAAAUAAACUUUCUGCUUGCCCACACGGUACACAUAAUAUGUUUUGUGUUUAAUUUAAAAUUUGCCUUAUAUAUAUACACAAGAAAAGGUUAUAGUUUAGUGAAAUUUGAUUUAGUUUAGUUUGUAAAAAUGUCCUCUUCAUUGUUCAUGGUUUACCAGUAAUUGGUCACCAUACUCUUUAACAUAAAUGUAUGGUACCAGAGUUUAUAUUUAUAUGUAAUACAGCUGAACAUUAUUUGCACACUUCUAUAUUAUGUGUAAAAGAUAAUUGUAAAAUAUUAAAAUGCAGUAUCCAUGGUCAUUGCUUAAAAAGUUAUCUUGAAAAAUACUAAAUAAUAGGAUCUUGUGAUUGCCAGUAUCAUGAAUCAACUGGGUAGCCAUAACCUAAUUUCAAGUAAAAACAUAAGUAUUACUGACAACUUGAAAUCAAAUCUACAAAUCUUUCACACUUAAAUAUGGAUUCAUUUAUUUUUGUGGAUAUUUUUCCGAAGCCUGCAUACAAUUUUAAAGAAACUAUUUUAAUCUUUGAAUAAAUUCAUUCUUUACAGAAAAUAAUGAACACACUGUAGUUCAACAGUACUAAUUGAACUGCUCAUGUAUAUCUUAUAAAUUAUUAAAGCUAGAUACAAUCUUAAUAUAUGUAUGAAAUACAAAAAAAAAUAGCUAUAUAUUGUUCCAAUUUCUUCCAACUGACUAUGAAAGAGUGUUUUGACACAUCAACAUCAUCAAAAUCAUUUUACUGAUAUUUUGCUUUAAAAGAUGAGAUAUUAUAGGAACCAUAACUUGAAUUAUUUUUUUUUUAUUCCAAAUGAAUUUUUUGAUCAUUAUAAUUCAUUUGCAAUUUAAGUGACAUCAUAAAAAUCUCAGUUAUAUUAUUUUUCUCAAAUCAGUUUAUUUAUUCUUCAUAAAUUUCAGAACCAAGGAGUCUUUAUGACACCUUUUCCCUUUACUUUAGUGCUCAAUGAUAAGUCAUAAUUCUAUAUAAAAAGUCAUGUUUGUGUCUACUGUUCAAAAUAUUUUCUUUCGAUUGUUAUUUUUUAUAGAAAAAAUAGUUUUCAUUUUCAUACAAACAGAAGAGUAGAAAAUAAAAUCACCAAAUUUUUGCAGUAGUUCAUUAGAUAAUACAGUUUUACACAGUACUUAAUAAGAAAGUACACCUGAUGUAAGUCACAUUAUGCACAUGUGACUUCAAAGUGAAAUGUGAUUUAUCUGUAGUAGUUUGCAGUAUUGAUUAUUUUCGCUGUGUACAAUUUAAUAAAUGUUUGUAUUAAUUUUGUGCAAUUUUGUCAUAAAAUGAUGCUUUUAUGUAAACUUAAUAAUAGUUGCUGCAUUUUAAUAUGAAAAGAAAUACAAAAGGCUAGACAACUCGAACAUUAGUUAUUAAUAAAUGUUAGAAAAAAAUUACAGAAAAUUUCCCUUUUAAGAAAAUAUAACAUUACAUCUAACAAAAUUUCACCAUUCAUGCAAAUGCAAUGCCAAGUAUGCCAAAAAAAUUUAAAUGUGCCAGAUAAUUAGUUUCAUGGGGCCAGUCUCAUCUAGUGUCUGGUUACUAAUCAUCCAUGCAUGAACAUAAUAAUGGAAGAACCGAAACAGGAUAUAACUUUAUUUGUACACAUGAUAAUAGCUUAAAAUCAAGUUUGUAAGAUACAUUUUGAUUUAAGUCCAAAUUGAAGAUUAUAAUUUUUUCAUUAGUGACAGAAUUUUUAUCUUUUGUUAAGCAAAACAUAAGCAGAAUGGUGACUGGAGGAAAAUUUCUUUCACAAGUCGGGGUUUAACUUUAUAUUUAAGAUGAAGAAAAAUCAGUAGAAGGUUUAUCCUACAGAACUACAGCAACAAAAUCACUGGAAAUUAACAUUUCAUUUCUAACUUAAGGGAUUUUAUUUUACCUUAUUGCUACCUAUUAUUCAGAAAAUUUUCUUGAUCAUUUUCAUAUAAACAUGACAAUUGUUAUUUCCAGGGGUAAUUAAUUAAAAGUGUUUCAUAUUUCAUCUUAGAAUGCAGUAAUA